rnacentral:rRNA from 1 species
AUUGAACGCUGGCGGCAUGCUUUACACAUGCAAGUCGAACGGUAACAGGCCGCAAGGUGCUGACGAGUGGCGAACGGGUGAGUAAUGCAUCGGAACGUGCCCAGUCGUGGGGGAUAACUACUCGAAAGAGUAGCUAAUACCGCAUACGAUCUAUGGAUGAAAGCGGGGGACCGUAAGGCCUCGCGCGAUUGGAGCGGCCGAUGUCAGAUUAGGUAGUUGGUGGGGUAAAGGCUCACCAAGCCAAUGAUCUGUAGCUGGUCUGAGAGGACGACCAGCCACACUGGGACUGAGACACGGCCCAGACUCCUACGGGAGGCAGCAGUGGGGAAUUUUGGACAAUGGGCGCAGGCCUGAUCCAGCAAUGCCGCGUGCAGGAAGAAGGCCUUCGGGUUGUAAACUGCUUUUGUACGGAACGAAACGGCUCUGGUUAAUACCCGGGGCUAAUGACGGUACCGUAAGAAUAAGCACCGGCUAACUACGUG